GACGGAGGGUGCAAGCGUUGUUCGGAUUGACUGGGCGUAAAGGGCGUGUAGGCGGUUGGUCAAGUCUGAUGUGAAAGCCCGGGGCUCAGCUCCGGAAGGGCAUCGGAAACUAGCCAGCUGGAGCGCGAUAGAGGAGGGCGGAAUUCCUGGUGUAGCGGUGAAAUGCGUAGAUAUCAGGAGGAACACCCGUGGCGAAGGCGGCUCUCUGGGACGGUACUGACGCUGAGACGCGAAAGCGUGGGGAGCGAACAGG
rnacentral:rRNA from 1 species